rnacentral:rRNA from 1 species
CGCAAUGGGCGAAAGCCUGACGGAGCAAUACCGCGUGAGGGAAGAAUGCCUAUGGGUUGUAAACCUCUUUCUUCAGGGAGGAAUAAAAUGACGUGUACCUGAAGAAUAAGCAUCGGCUAACUCCGUGCCAGCAGCCGCGGUAAGACGGAGGAUGCAAGUGUUAUCCGGAAUCACUGGGCGUAAAGCGUCUGUAGGUGGUUUAAUAAGUCAACUGUUAAAUCUUGAUGGCUCAACUUCAAAAUCGCAGUCGAAACUAUUAGACUAGAGUAUAGUAGAGGUAAAGGGAAUUUCCAGUGGAGCGGUGAAAUGCGUAGAUAUUGGAAAGAACACCGAUGGCGAAAGCACUUUACUGGGCUAUUACUAACACUCAGAGACGAAAGCUA